rnacentral:siRNA from 1 species
UCCAAGUUGGUAGUUCUAAGAUGC